rnacentral:lncRNA from 1 species
GCGGGUUCAAAACGAUAAUUUCAGCCACAGACCAAAUUAUUUGGCCAGGAGCAUCAGCAGAAAUCGAUUUGUACGUAGAUAAUGCAGUUUCCAGCUCAUUUAUACCUGCAGUAUCAGAUUAAUGUUAACAAGUUGAGAGUUUAGGAUAAGGUAACUGAAACUUUCAUAUAGUAGGGAAGGAGAGAUAUAUGUGGAUCACCUAAUAAAAAAAAAAGAGAACGACAACAAUAUUAAUAGUAAAAGAGAAUCUCUACCAAGGGCCAGCAAAAGUUAGAGCUACUACUUACAAGAUGCUGCAGGUUUCUCUUCAUAUCCACAAAAUCAGCCACCAACACACAGUACAUUCAAAUAAAGAGGAAAUAUAGUCAGAGGCACAAAAAGAUUAAUAACAAAAUUAUGAUUAUCAAAUGUUA